rnacentral:misc_RNA from 1 species
AAGUCGUAACAAGGUUUCCGUAGGUGAACCUGCGGAAGGAUCAUUAAUAAUAUAGCAAACCGAGCGUUAGCGAGGUUCUGCGAUCAAAAUUGUAUUUAAAACCCAACACUUUGAAUCAAUAUUUUUUUUGUAUCUUAAAUAAUAAAAGAUCACUUUCAACAACGGAUCUCUUGGUUCUC